UUCCUUCCUUGUGUUGAUAUGAUCCCACGUCAGCAAGGCCGUGGGACGGAGUGUCAGCAACGAAAGGCAGCUGUUAGCUUGAUGCCAGAGGACGCGCAAAGAAUGGCGUCGCCCCGCGCGAAGUGGUAAGUGGGUAAGCCGGGCGCUAACACUUCCCUUUUCCCCUCCUUCGUUGGAAGUCGAAACCCGCUAAGGAGUGUGUAACAACUCACCUGCCGAAGCAACUAGCCCCGAAGAUGGAUGGCGCUCUAGUGCCGAGCCUAUACCAGGCCGCUGCCGGCAGAUCACGCAAACACGGGGGUGCUAAGCAACUGCGAGUAGGAGGGCCGCUGCGAUGAGCGUUGAAGGUGUCGGACGUGAGCCCGCCUGAAGCCGUCGCUCGUG
rnacentral:rRNA from 1 species